rnacentral:rRNA from 1 species
AUACGGAGGGUGUAAGCGUUAAUCGGAAUUACUGGGCGUAAAGAGUACGUAGGCGGCCUACUAAGUCAGAUGUGAAAGCCCAGGGCUCAACCUUGGAACUGCAUUUGAAACUGGUAGGCUAGAGUAUGGUAGAGGGGGGUAGAAUUUCUGGUGUAGCGGUGAAAUGCGUAGAUAUCAGAAGGAAUACCAGUGGCGAAGGCGGCCCCCUGGCCCAAUACUGACGCUGAGGUACGAAAGCGUGGGUAGCGAACGGGAUUAGAAACCCCAGUAGUCC